rnacentral:rRNA from 1 species
UACGAGGGGGGCGAGCGUUGUUCGGAAUUAUUGGGCGUAAAGGGUGCGUAGGCGGUUUGGUAAGUCUUAUGUGAAAUCUACAGGCUCAACUUGUAGUCUGCAUGAGAAACUGCCGGGCUUGAGUAUGGGAGAGGUGAGUGGAAUUCCUGGUGUAGCGGUGGAAUGCGUAGAUAUCAGGAGGAACACCUGUGGCGAAAGCGGCUCACUGGACCAUAACUGACGCUGAUGCACGAAAGCUAGGGGAGCAAACAGG